rnacentral:rRNA from 1 species
GAUGAACGCUGGCGGCGUGCCUAAUACAUGCAAGUAGAACGCUGAAGGAGGAGCUUGCUCUUCUGGAUGAGUUGCGAACGGGUGAGUAACGCGUAGGUAACCUGCCUGGUAGCGGGGGAUAACUAUUGGAAACGAUAGCUAAUACCGCAUGACAACAGUUAUUGCAUGAUAACUGUUUAAAAGGGGCAACUGCUCCACUACCAGAUGGACCUGCGUUGUAUUAGCUAGUUGGUGAGGUAACGGCUCACCAAGGCGACGAUACAUAGCCGACCUGAGAGGGUGAUCGGCCACACUGGGACUGAGACACGGCCCAGACUCCUACGGGAGGCAGCAGUAGGGAAUCUUCGGCAAUGGACGGAAGUCUGACCGAGCAACGCCGCGUGAGUGAAGAAGGUUUUCGGAUCGUAAAGCUCUGUUGUAAGAGAAGAACGAGUGUGGGAGUGGAAAGUUCACACUGUGACGGUAUCUUACCAGAAAGGGACGGCUAACUACGUG